GUAUUGUAUGAAAGCAGAGAAGGUGAGCACUCCCCUUGACAAGGAUGGAUGAGGCCUGACAACAAGCACACAUACAGUUAAGUCACUGCCACCUACUUUGUGGCAUCUAGCCAUCGUUUUUU